UGGCCCCGGGACCGGCCGCGGCUCGGCCGCGCACACCCGCGGGGCGCUUGCAGCGGCCGUGAGGAAACAAAAUUCUGUGCGUUGUGCCUGCCCGCACCGCCCUGGGUAGCGGGUAGAGCGCGGGUUGUGCUAAAAUGUGGGGGUUAGCCUGGAACGCACCGAAGAUGAGUUGCGUGAGGUAGAAGUCGCUCAUCUGUGAUCAGCUGCGGGGAGAUGAAAAAAUACGCGCGUUCUAAGUAACAUUUGCUAUGAGAAGAAAAACAGGAGGAAAGAUCAUCGAGGGGAAGAAGGAAAUAAAGUGAGGGGACCGUGGCUCGAAAAAAGGAAAUUGCUGUUCAGAAUUCCUCUGCCUCCAAUGUAGACAAUUUUCAGAAUGCAGCAUUCCAUACGAGAGAGACACGUACGAGUGCACACGCAUACCCUAAAGCAGAAUCACAACAUUUAUAUUUGUUUCCUGUCUUAAACUCACUGGGGACUGAAAAUCAAUGAGAGUCUGCAUUGCACCCCAGAAGUGUCUGCUUUUCACUGGCAGUGACUACAGAAGAGCACCGCAGGACUGAUGGGAUGAAAGGAUGCCUGCUGACCCAUGGAAGGGCAGCUAAAAUGCCUGAACUCUGCUUCCCAGUGUUGCACGAGCAAGAAGGGGAAUGUAGGCUGAGAGAUAGAGAUCUCCACUCAACACCACUACAUGGGGUGGAAGCAAGUGCAAGACCUUCACAGACUCCGAGGGAAAAGAAGAAACUGUACAUGCUUUUGCGAGCUCCUUGUAAUUUAAUUAGUUUCUAAAUAUUCUAAAUGAACAUUUCUAACCCUUUUAUAUGAACAAAGAAUUGUAAUUCACAGAGCAGAGAUGUGCAGCUAAAGGAUACUAGCUAUUGGAAUGGUUGUGGGUUUCUUCAAAAUGCAGUAAUUUUGCUUCUCUCAGCUUCAUCUCUUCCUGGAAAAUGGGAAAAGUUAAAUUUGGAAUUGAACCAAAUCUAGUACUGGAAUAAGAAGAGGUAAUUCCCACAGAAACUUGACAAGAACCACACCCUACUCAUGUCAAAUAUGAUUUUCAAAUCAAGCUUAUGAAUAUGGUCCACAAAGUGCUGACAACCAUAGCCAAGCUCCAGCAUCACCCUCCAGAAGUCAGAAUGGGAUACUACAUAUGGAAGAUUAAUUCCUAACGUGGUUCAGAAGUAGCAGAUCAGAUCAGGUCUCAGGGGCAUAUGCACAAAGGGAUGCACAGAUAAACCUUUUUCAGGCAAAAAUCCAUUUAUCUGCAUGUAUCAGGCUGUUGCAAGCCCACAUAAGGGUUUCUGGACCAACAAUGCCAAAGAACUUACCUGAGGAUCUCAAAGCUCUUUGCAGAGAGUACAAAGUGAGCUUAGCUGUACCUCUGUGACUGCCCCACAGUCCAGGUCCCUCAGUCCCUAGUUUUUAGUGUACACCUGCAGACACACGUAAGCCUGCCGGUGAUAUAAGGAUGGGUCAGACUGAUAACAGGAUAUAUAGGAGAGACUGAACCCGCUCUUCUUGGAGCAGGACCAUAAAGGAAAGUGCUGCAGUCCAAGUAAUAAGCUUCCCUUCUAAUGAAAGAUUAGAUGCUGCCAGUUUCUGUAGCAGCUUCCAAAAUAACCCAAUACUGACCACCAAUUAAAUUCAAUGCAAACAGCCUAUGCUGCAGGCAUUGCCCCAGGUCUGUGCAGCUAUAAAGCAUCUGUCCCCAACAGCAAGAAAGACAAUCAGCAAAGAACAGAAACAAAGGAUCUCUCCUGCCAGGGUCACUGCAGCGCUUGAGAAACACUGGAAACCCAAGCCAAAGCAUCUGCAAGCCCUUGUGCAUCCUGUUUUCCUGGCUUGUUUCUUUUUCUGAAUUUAUAUGCACAAUGAAACAAAUCUCUCCCCAAGCCCCUAGUCCUUCCCAGAGACCACAACUGCCUAAAUCCUCUAGAAAACAUAUUCAGGUAAUAACGAGAUCCACUUACAGUGGGGAUAUUAAAAGAACCAUGUGACUUCUUACAAGCAGAUAGAAAAAUAACCUUUUCUUACCUCCACACAUCUGAAACAGGAUAGCAGACUUAAGAGCUCUACCAGGAGCCCGAGUAUUUUGGAGAUUUC